rnacentral:rRNA from 1 species
UCGAAACCUGCACAGCAGAACGACCGGCGAACCCGUUUACCAACCCCUGGGGGGGUGGGGCCAGCCCCGUCCCCCCGGGCGCCUGAGAGCACCUCUCUGUUCGCCCUGUCGAGGGGAAUGGCGGAUCGGCGCUUGACGGCAAGUACCCAAACACCGGCGCGGGUUGCGCCAAGGACCGUGAAGUAUUCUGCCGCGCCCCGCGGCCCCGGGCAACCGGGUGCUGCGGUGAGGGCGCGUGGAAGGACCUAUAACAAAACGACUCUCGGCAACGGAUAUCUCGGCUCUCGCAUCGAUGAAGAACGUAGCGAAAUGCGAUACUUGGUGUGAAUUGCAGAAUCCCGUGAACCAUCGAGUCUUUGAACGCAAGUUGCGCCCGAAGCCAUCCGGCCGAGGGCACGUCUGCCUGGGCGUCACGCAUCGCGUCGCCCCCUCCCCCUCCGUGGCCCACGUUGAGCGGAGWGAGGGGCGGACCAUGGCCCCCCGUGCGCCCCCGUGCGGUCGGCCCAAACACGGAGCCCGUGGACGCGAGCGCCGCGACGUUUGGUGGUUGAACCUCGAGCAUCGCGUCGCGAGCCGGAGCGUCCCCGAAGAGCUCGGAGGACCCUUAGGCGCAAAAGCAGCCUACCCUUGCGACCCC